rnacentral:rRNA from 1 species
ACGGGAGGCAGCAGUAAGGAAUAUUGGUCAAUGGGCGGAAGCCUGAACCAGCCAUGCCGCGUGCAGGAUGACUGCCCUAUGGGUUGUAAACUGCUUUUGUCCGGGAAUAAACCUCCUUACGAGUAGGGAGCUGAAUGUACCGGAAGAAUAAGGAUCGGCUAACUCCGUGCCAGCAGCCGCGGUAAUACGGAGGAUCCGAGCGUUAUCCGGAUUUAUUGGGUUUAAAGGGUGCGUAGGCGGCCCGUUAAGUCAGGGGUGAAAUACGGUGGCUCAACCAUCGCAGUGCCUUUGAUACUGACGGGCUUGAAUCCAUAUGAAGUGGGCGGAAUAAGACAAGUAGCGGUGAAAUGCAUAGAUAUGUCUUAGAACUCCGAUUGCGAAGGCAGCUCACUAAGCUGGUAUUGACGCUGAUGCACGAAAGCGUGGGGAUCGAACAGGAUUAGAUACCCUGGUAGUCCACGCCCUAAACGAUGAUAACUCGAUGUUGGCGAUAGACAGCCAGCGUCCCAGCGAAAGCGUUAAGUUAUCCACCUGGGGAGUACGCCCGCAAGGGUGAAACUCAAAGGAAUUGACGGGGGCCCGCACAAGCGGAGGAGCAUGUGGUUUAAUUCGAUGAUACGCGAGGAACCUUACCCGGGCUUGAAAGUUAGUGGAGGAUGCAGAGACGCAUCCGUCCUUCGGGACACGAAACUAGGUGCUGCAUGGCUGUCGUCAGCUCGUGCCGUGAGGUGUUGGGUUAAGUCCCGCAACGAGCGCAACCCCUAUGUUUAGUUGCCAGCAUGUAAUGGUGGGGACUCUAAACAGACUGCCUGUGCAAACAGUGAGGAAGGUGGGGACGACGUCAAGUCAUCAUGGCCCUUACGUCCGGGGCUACACACGUGCUACAAUGGACGGUACAGCGGGCAGCUAGCUGGCAACAGCAUGCUAAUCUCUAAAAG